GUGGUCAUCGUCUAGCGGCACAGGACCGCCGUUUCUCGAACGGUGAACGAGGGUUCGAUUCCCUCUGACCACG
rnacentral:tRNA from 1 species